rnacentral:rRNA from 1 species
AUGACUGCCGCCAGCGACAAACGCCGGAAGGAUGUAGCCGAACUCGAGCACGGACUCGAGCACAACGGCGACAUACGCCUCCUCCCAACGUCAACCGCACGCUCGUUCGCGUGCCUGCGGUCCCGACACGCCCGAUGCGUCCAGUGCGCACCCAUAACACGCACCGGUCGCGCCGGGCUCGCCGCCACGGCUUAUUGCCCUGCACCGCUGCGGCCUCAACCGCAGCGCAGCACCUCCGUGCCGCCAUGCUGCUGUGUGUCGUUGAAGCCGCCACCACGCAGGUCCUCCGCGGCCUCCUCACCGUGCCGCCGCAACCACCGCGGCCUCCUCGCCGCGCCGCACACCUCCAUAGACCGACACACGGCCCGGAGCAUCGCGCAGCCGCCGGCGAACUCAGCCACCGCCGGCACGCCUCCGGCAAGGAGAACGACACCCAAGAUGAACCAGCUCAUGAUACCAAUGGUGCACACACUCUGGUGA